AAAUAGUAAAUAUUCCUCAUAUAAUGAUUAUUUUGUUUAUAACAUAGAUUCUUGGUAAUAUAAAUGAUCUCACACUUGAUCAUAUAAGUAAUAGUUGUGAUAUUCAUAUAGGACACCUCAAGCUCGAAUAGAGAAAUACAUCAGUGGUUGGAACAAAUACUUAUGAAGAUUGAUGAGAAAAUUGUGACUUCAAAUACAAAUAAAGAAAUUCGUCAGUGGUUGGAACCCAUACUUGUGAGGAUGGAAGAGAAAAUCGGAGGAUUCUUGUGGACCACUUUAUGUCCUUCGAAGUUCGUUAAACUUAUUGAUUGAUCCUAGAGGAUGGCUUGAUGAUGAGGUAUAUCCACA